rnacentral:rRNA from 1 species
UGGGGAAUCUUCCGCAAUGGGCGAAAGCCUGACGGAGCAAUGCCGCGUGAGUGAAGAAGGCCUUCGGGUUGUAAAACUCUGUCCUUAUCGAAGAGAGGUGGGUAUGUGAAUAAUGUACCUAUAGGACGGUAGAUAAGGAGGAAGCCCCGGCUAACUACGUGCCAGCAGCCGCGGUAAUACGUAGGGGGCGAGCGUUGUCCGGAAUUAUUGGGCGUAAAGGGCGCGUAGACGGCCGAGUAAGUUAUAGGUGAAAGCCCAUCUUUCAAGGAUGGAAUUGCCUGUAAUACUGCCUGGCUUGAGUGCAGGAGAGGGAAGCGGAAUUCCUAGUGUAGCGGUGAAAUGCGUAGAUAUUAGGAAGAACACCAGUGGCGAAGGCGGCUUUCUGGACUGAAACUGACGCUGAGGCUCGAAAGCGUGGGGGAGCAAACAGGAUUAGAUACCC